UAGCAUAUCAAUAAGCGGAGGAAAAGAAACCAACAGGGAUUGCCCUAGUAACGGCGAGUGAAGCGGCAACAGCUCAAAUUUGAAAUCUGGCCUCACGGUCCGAAUUGUAAUUUGUAGAGGAUGUUUCUGGCGACGUGUCUUCCGAGUUCCCUGGAACGGGACGCCAUAGAGGGUGAGAGCCCCGUCCGGUCGUACACCUAGCCUCUGUGAAACUCCUUCGACGAGUCGAGUAGUUUGGGAAUGCUGCUCUAAAUGGGAGGUAUACGUCUUCUAAAGCUAAAUACCGGCCAGAGACCGAUAGCGCACAAGUAGAGUGAUCGAAAGAUGAAAAGCACUUUGAAAAGAGGGUUAAAUAGUACGUGAAAUUGCUGAAAGGGAAGCGCUUAUGACCAGACUUGGGCUCGGUGAAUCAUCCGGCGUUCUCGCCGGUGCACUUUGCCGUCCCAGGCCAGCAUCAGUUCGCGCCGGGGGAUAAAGGUUUCGGGAAUGUAGCUCCUUCGGGAGUGUUAUAGCCCGUUGCGUAAUACCCUGGCGUGGACUGAGGUCCGCGCUCUGCAAGGAUGCUGGCGUAAUGGUCAUCAGUGACCCGUCUUGAAACACGGACCAAGGAGUCGUCUUCGUAUGCGAGUGUUCGGGUGUCAAACCCCUACGCGUAAUGAAAGUGAACGUAGGAGAGAGCUUCGGCGCAUCUCCGACCGAUCCUGAUGUUCUCGGAUGGAUUUGAGUAAGAGCAUACGGGGCCCGGACCCGAAAGAAGGUGAACUAUGCCUGUAUAGGGUGAAGCCAGAGGAAACUCUGGUGGAGGCUCGCAGCGGUUCUGACGUGCAAAUCGAAUCGUCAAAUAUGGGCAUGGGGGCGAAAGACUAAUCGAAUCUUCUAGUAGCUGGUUUUCCGCCGAAGUUUCCCUUC
rnacentral:rRNA from 1 species